UACGAAGGGGGCUAGCGUUGCUCGGAAUCACUGGGCGUAAAGGGUGCGUAGGCGGGUCUUUUAAGUCAGGGGUGAAAUCCUGGAGCUCAACUCCAGAACUGCCCUUGAUACUGAAGAUCUUGAGUUCGGAGAGGUGAGUGGAACUGCGAGUGUAGAGGUGAAAUUCGUAGAUAUUCGCAAGAACACCAGUGGCGAAGGCGGCUCACUGGCCCAUUACUGACGCUGAGGCACGAAAGCGUGGGGAGCAAACAGG
rnacentral:rRNA from 1 species